UAGGUAUAACUUUAAAGUUUAAAGACAUUUUACAGAGUACAUUAGGUCAGCUUUAGUCUUUCAUUUGAAAAACAGAGAUCUAGAUCUUCUGGCCUCUGGCCCAAACUCCAGCAGCUGCAACACUAUGGCUGGGCCAGACCAACGCAAAGAGCAAGGAGCUUCUUCAGGGUUUCCCAUGUGAGUGCGAGGACCCAUUGGGCCAUUCUCUGCCGCUUUCCCAGUUGCACCUGCAGGGAGCUGAAGUUGUCUGGACAUGAACCAGUACCCACAUGGGAUGCUGGCAUCAUAGCUGGCAGCUUAGCCUGUUACGGAGGCCCCAGUUCUGUCCAAGGGCCCCUGUGGCCUUCGAAGACGGCACCACUCGAAGACCUCCGUGCUUGGGUGACACAGGACACUGGAUGGCAACUUUCUCUGGCUUCAUCGUUCCUGCAUUUUCCUGGGCCAAGUACCCUCCUCCACCCCCCAGCUACAGG